rnacentral:rRNA from 1 species
UACGAAAGGUGCAAGCGUUAAUCGGAAUUACUGGGCGUAAAGCGCGCGUAGGCGGUUUGCUAAGUCAGAUGUGAAAGCCCCGGGCUCAACCUGGGAACUGCAUUUGAAACUGGCAGGCUAGAAUGCAGUAGAGGGAGGUGGAAUUUCCGGUGUAGCGGUGAAAUGCGUAGAGAUCGGAAGGAACACCAGUGGCGAAGGCGGCCUCCUGGACUGACAUUGACGCUGAGGUGCGAAAGCGUGGGGAGCAAAC